UACUUGAAGAAUAACCUGGAUGGUUCUUCAUCUUAGAAAUGUUCAGCCCUGAUGGCACACCUCACCAGAAGUAUCCCUACUUAAAGAAGAUGGCAACCACAAAAUGGACUUUUUAAAUGGAAUGUCUCUGAUCCCAACUGCUGCUUAAUAUGAGGAACAGUGAUUGAGGAGCAGCGAAUGCAAAAGUGACCUACAUAUGCUGAACACUGGAAGACAAAAACACAGGUGAAAAUAAGACCUUGUCCCUGCCUCUCAAGAGUGAAUGAGUGAGACCCAGAAGAAAUGAUAAGAAAAGCAGAAAAACAGAAUAAAGGAUAAGGACAAUGGUAAAUACAGCAAGAAGAAUAGGGCAUUGUGGUUAGAAGACUGUGACCAAGAUCCCACAGCUGAUGGCAACAUAAAUGGGGAAAUUCAUUCUGCUGCUGCUGCCCUAGCUUUUGUUGG